GCCACAUAUGUGGACAGCACCAUGG
rnacentral:misc_RNA from 1 species